rnacentral:lncRNA from 1 species
GGAAGGUGGGAACCUGACCAGGGGACCUGUCAUGAGGUGUAGCCAGAAUCCUAGCAUUGCCCGGAGAGCGGAAGUCGGGCUCCAGCAUCCAUCGGUUCCCCACCCCCCUGAUGAAAGAAAGAAAAGUCCACAACGCGUGUCAGAUCUUACAGCUCAGCCUCUGAGAAUCAGCUCACCGCCCGCUCCGCCCGGUGGGGGGAUAAAGACCAGCUCCUGCCCGUGUCGACGCGCAUGUGAGCACUCAGUGGAGGACGCUGUGAACUCACCCGCGUGCAGGAGGAUUUCUGCUCUUCAGGAUCCUCAGUCCCACGUGGCAACCCAGGAAUGCCCCGAACUCCCCUCCUGCUGGCGCACCAGAUCUACAGUUGUGUACAGAGCAAUCGCCCUGAAGAGGAGCAGCAUCCACAGGACGAUGAGAUGACGACGAUGGCGAGGCCCUUGAAGGAGUGACAGGAGAGACAGAGACUCAGCAACAAAGGGAACCCCGGGCCCGAUGCUCAGAGCUGCAGUGAGGAUACUACCAGGGGCCAUGAGCAGACUGCUGUGGAGCCAGGAGAAAAGCCCCAGUAUAAACAGGCAAUGGAAAUAAAAGGGAACCAGACCCAAACCCCCAUCAGACAGCUGCCAGGUCAGGGGCUCCAAGGGCCACAUUCUGUGGUCUGCUCCCACCUUCGUGCAGAGAAAGGAGCCGGGGCCCUAGCUGGCCUGACACCCAGUGAGCCACCAGUUCCUAGACUCCAGCAGCCCUCUCUAUCCCACCAGGAGGACCCCAGAUGGCACUCAUUACAGCUCCAACCAGCUCCCCAAGGUGGUAUACUUUGUACUGGUGUCACCACACUGCUGUCCUGUGUCACUUCAACAGGUCACUCCCCAGAAGUCCCCUGUGCAGAGCACCCUGGAACCCCUGGCCCAUGCCCGGCUCACCUCCAGCUGCCCUAGAGUCAUCCUGUGCUCAGAGCCCCCUGGACCCCUGGCCCAUGCCCACCUCCACUCCAGACACCCUGCUAGGGCAGCCCCUGCAUAGAGAGCCCAGAGAUCUCCCCCAGGUCCAGCCAUACCCCCUACACACCACCUGCAUGUAGAGCCCUGGGACCACACAAGGCUCGUGGCUGACUCCCUUCAGCAUCCAGCCAGGUCACCCUGUGUGUGGAAAGCCCUGCAGCUGCUCCAGCCCACGCCAACCUCAGUUCCAGCCACACCACCAGGUUAGCCCCGAACAGAGCAAUCCCAGACCCCCAGCCUAGGACCACAACAGCUGCAGCCAGCCAGCAUCACCAAGCACACGCUGUCUACACAGGGGGCCUCCACACACGAUCAACCCAUCAAGACUAAGAGAAGUAGCUGUUCCACCUAAUUCACAGAAACCAAUAGAGAAAGUAGUAUAAAAUGAGACAGAAAAAUAUACUUCAAAGAAUGAGACAAAACCUUAGAAAACCUAAAUGAAGUGCAGAUAAACAAUCUACCAGAUAAAGAAUUCAAAGUAAUGUUCAUAAAAAUGUUCACCGGGAUGGAGAGAAGAGUGGAUGAACUCAUUGAGAAUUUCAACAAAGUGAUGGAAAAUAUUUAAAAACACCAGUUGGGAUUGAAGAAAACAGUAACAAAUGAAAAAUACACUCAAGGGAAUCAACAGAUUAGAAAAUGAAGAACAGAUCAACAAUCUGGAAGACAAAGUGGUGGAAAGCACCUAAGCAGAACAGAAAAAAAAUUUUUUUUAAAUGAGGAUAGGUUAAGGGAGCUCUCGGACAAUAGAAAGUGAGCAAACAUUUACAUUAUAGAGAACCCAGAAGGAGAAGAGAGAGAGAGAAAGGGGCAGAACAAUUAUUUGAAGACAUAACAGCUGAAAACUUCCCUAACCUGGGAAAGGAAACAGACUUCCAAGUUCCAGAAACACAGAGUUUCAAAACAAGAUGAACCCAAGAAAGUCUACACUAUGACACAUAAUUAUUAAAAUGUCAAAGAUUAAAGAGAAUUUUAAAAGCAGCAAGAGAAGAGACACGCCUGGUGGUGACAGACACACCAAAGAGAUGGAUGAAACCAUUGCCGAAUUUAUCAAGAGAACCACAUUGAAGAUCCCAAUGUCUGAAAGAUGACAAUCCUCCAAGUCUGGGAAAUUGAUUGAUUGAUUGAUUGAUUGUCUGAGAAUCAACUGCAGACCAUAGACUUCUGGCAAAGAAAGGAAUCUCUUGUUCAGGACUGAGUUCUGUUCUGUGAGGAGAAGCAUGCCAGUCCCCAGGAUGCAGCCCUAUAAACACCACUCAUACUCCACUUCAUCGGCACCAAAAGUUUGGGAUGUUUUUCAGAGAGUAGAGGACCAGGUGAAGACCUUGAUCUUUUUGAUAUGGAACAAGUCAAAGGUUCAUUUGAGACACUUCUUCAGGGAACAGUAGAAAAUGUGAGUCUGCUUCCAAGACACUGAGGAGAAUGCUGUGUGGGUUCGAGUUGCCUGGGGAACACAGUGGAGCAAGCCAACCCAGUACAGACCUGCUUAUGUGGGUGCAUUAUUCCCAGACUCCCUACACCAUCACUUCCUCCUGCCAGCUGAAGAGCAAUACACCCCGUCCGUGGCAGGCACUGCCAGUUGCUAGCCAGCACCAUAUGUUUGUGAAAAUGGACCCCAAAGCUGGAAUCCGGACUCCCUUAAGCAGUAUAACCAGGCCUUUGAAACUGACCCCUCUACCACAGCCCUACAAGAAAGAACCCUUGAGCUGGAAAUACACAUGGAUCAAGGAUCAUUCAUGAAAAUGAAAUAGAAAAAGAAAGUCCAGAGAGAGACUCAAGAAACUUGGGAGACUAUCCUCAACCAAGACUAGAAUUUGCACAACAGGAGCUUGAAACAAAAGCUGAGGCACCUCUGGUGCCUAAUGAAGUUCCCUAGCCCGCAUCUUCUGGAAGCGUUGAAAUCCUCAGCACCAGCCAGUACUGCAGAUGCACCACUUUCUCCACUGCUCACUUACAUGCCCCAUAAAGGAAUGAAUUAUAUUAAAGUUAGAUGUAAAUAAGACGAAUGUGGUCUUACAAGCACAG